UACCUGCAGCUCGAGUGGUAACCGCUAUUAUUGGGCCUAAAGCGUCCGUAGCCGGUUUGGUAAAUAUCUGGGUAAAUCGUGAGGCUUAACUUCACGAAUUUCGGAUAGACUGCCAGACUUGGGAUCGGGGGAGGUCAGAGGUACUCCAGGGGUAGCGGUGAGAUGUUGUAAUCCUUGGAGGACCACCGGUAGCGAAGGCGUCUGACUAGAACGAGUCCGACGGUGAGGGACGAAGCCCUGGGGGCGCAAACCGGAUUAGAUACCCGGGUAGUCCAGGGUGUAAACGAUGUGGGCUUUGUAUUGGAGGUCCCACGUGGGCGUCCAGUGCAGAAGAGAAGUUGUUAAGCCCACCGCCUGGGAAGUACGGUCGCAAGGCUGAAACUUAAAGGAAUUGGCGGGGAGCACAGCAACGGGAGGAGCGUGCGGUUU
rnacentral:rRNA from 1 species